rnacentral:rRNA from 1 species
AUUGAACGCUGGCGGCAUGCCUUACACAUGCAUGUCGAACGGCAGCACGGGAGCAAUCCUGGUGGCGAGUGGCGAACGGGUGAGUAAAGUAUCGGAACGUGCCCAGUCGUGGGGGAUAACGUAGCGAAAGUUACGCUAAUACCGCAUACGAUCUAUGGAUGAAAGCGGGGGAUCGCAAGACCUCGCGCGAUUGGAGCGGCCGAUAUCAGAUUAGGUAGUUGGUGGGGUAAAGGCUCACCAAGCCGACGAUCUGUAGCUGGUCUGAGAGGACGACCAGCCACACUGGGACUGAGACACGGCCCAGACUCCUACGGGAGGCAGCAGUGGGGAAUUUUGGACAAUGGGCGCAAGCCUGAUCCAGCCAUGCCGCGUGCAGGAUGAAGGCCUUCGGGUUGUAAACUGCUUUUGUACGGAACGAAAAGGUUUGACUUAAUACGUUGGACUCAUGACGGUACCGUAAGAAUAAGCACCGGCUAACUACGUGCCAGCAGCCGCCGUAAGAC